AACGGCCGCGGUAUCCUAACCGUGCGAAGGUAGCGUUAAUCACUUGUUCUUUAAAUGAGGACUAGUAUGAAUGGCACCACGAGGGUUAAACUGUCUCCUUUUUUUAAUCAGUGAAACUAAUCUCCCCGUGAAGAAGCGGGGAUUCUUUUAUAAGACGAGAAGACCCUAUGGAGCUUUAAACAAGUUAACACCUGCUACUAAUCUUCACUUUCCUGAACCACCACAUUAAGUAUAGCACCUCUGAUUAACAGUUUUCGAUUGGGGUGAUCAUGGAGCAAAAAUCAACCUCCACGACGAAAAGGAACACCUCCUUGAGCCAAAAGCUACAACUUUAAGCACUAAAAAACUAACGCACUUUGACCCAAUUCUUUGAGCAACGAACCAAGUUACCCUAGGGAUAACAGCGCAAUCCACUUUAAGAGCCCCUAUCGACAAGUGGGUUUACGACCUCGAUGUUGGAUCAGGGUAUCCCAGUGGUG
rnacentral:rRNA from 1 species